AAUGAACGCUGGCGGCAUGGAUUAGGCAUGCAAGUCGAACGGACCGUUUUUCGCAAGAGAUGCGGUCAGUGGCGAAAGGGUGAGUAACACGUGAGCAACCUGCCCCCGAGUCCGGGACAGCCCGUGGAAACGCGGAUUAAUACCGGAUGUGGUACUCUGUCGCAUGGCAGAGCCACUGAAGAUUUAUCGCUCGGGGAUGGGCUCGCGGCCCAUAAGCUAGUUGGCGGGGUGACGGCCCACCAAGGCUAUGACGGGUAGGUGGUCUGAGAGGAUGGUCACCCACACUGGGACUGAGACACUGCCCAGACUCCUACGGGAGGCUGCAGUCGAGAAUCUUCCGCAAUGGGCGCAAGCCUGACGGAGCGAUGCCGCGUGAGGGAUGAAGGCCUUCGGGUUGUAAACCUCUGUCAGAGGGGACAAAGAAUGUGAUGGUACCCUCAGAGGAAGCCACGGCUAACUACGUGCCAGCAGCCGCGGUAAUACGUAGGUGGCGAGCGUUAUUCGGAUUCACUGGGCGUAAAGGGUCCGUAGGGGGUCUGCCAAGUCUGGUGUGAAAGCCCGCGGCUCAACUGCGGAACGGCACUGGAUACUGGCGGGCUGGAGUCUGCGAGGGGUGAGCGGAAUUCCUGGUGUAGCGGUG
rnacentral:rRNA from 1 species